CUUGGAACUGCACAGUCUCUGUGGAUAGCGCAAGCCGGAAAUAAACCAAGUGACUUGCUCCGAAAUUAAGUGUCUAUAACAGAACACCCGAUUUUUUUAGAUUUUUUUUUUUUUNNNNNNNNNNNNNNNNNNNNUUUUUUUUUUUUUUUUUUUUUUUUUUUUUUUUGGUCACCAUUUUAUGAUGAGUGCCCUGAGAGGUUGUGGAGUCUCCUUCAGUGGGGAUAUUCUGGACAUCUAGACACAAUCCUGUGCCAUGUGCUCUGUGAUAACCCUGCUUGAAGAGGAAGGUUGCAUCACAUGACCCACUGUGGUUCCUUCCAACCCGACCCGUUCUGUGAUUCCCUUUGAGUCACACUAAAAAAGUUUUUCUUCUGCCAUGAAAUAGACAGGGCAGGAGAUAUUUCUCCCUCUUUGAUGACCUUAUUAAAAAGNGAUCAGCUCAAGGCUGGGAGGCCCGAUGGAUCCGCGGGUUCGCCGUCGCAGCUCCCUGGAGCGACUUGGAGAAGGAGACAAAUGCAGCUUUGUCCACUAAGUUCUCCAGAGCUGGCCCUGUAUGUGGUUGGUAUAUCCCUUCUCCACUUUCUCCUGUACUUUUCACAGUUGUAUCACCAAAGAAAUAUCAGAGUUACACAGACUGUUUCCAGGAUCUACUGCCUGCACAUUAAGUUCUUUGUCUCCCUCCAGAAAACUGCUAAGGUAGUCUCACAUGAGCUGGUCUCACACUGAAAUGCUGACAGUGUUUCCAUUCCCACAAGAGGGCACCAGGCACGGGAAAAUCCCUUCACAUUCAUUAAUAUCAGCCUUAUAGUUCAUCUCUACUUCUUAAUCACUUAUAGUACUAUAAUGCAUAAUAUCAAAUGAAACCCCUUUACAUCUACUACACAAAGAAAUUACCUUUCAGCCAAUUUAUACUCAUAAUUACCUAUGUUUAAACAUCUGUUUAUGACACUUGCUAUAUUUCACCUGUGUUCAGAGAGAUACUUUGCUAUCACAGUUAUAUCAAUGUUCUUGUCUAUUGACUAUGUGUGGACUCUUUCUCACACAGGAAAUUCACAUGGGCAAAAUUAAGCACUUUCUGAAACAAAGAAGGCAAAAGAUUGAUUGUACAUCUAGAAAUCUUCCUGAUUUCACAUGUCCAGUUCCCCUUUUCACCUGGAUCCAUCUCUUGUAGCAGGCAGGAUCUGCCUGAUUUGUGCCCUUGAAGCUGCUCCAGCCCUUAUCACCAUGGCAUCCCAUGGCAGAGAGCAGCUGUACUGGUGGAGUGACAUUGCCUUGCAAAUCAUCUCCAUGUAACUUGCCUGAUCUUACCUUCUGUCUACCCAGCCGGCACAAAACUUCUGCAGUUGUGAGCCUCCUGCACAAAGAAAGUUCUUCUUCAGCAAAAGUGGAAUCUAAAGCUGGUUUUCCCACAUGGACACUCUUACUUCAGGGGAAAAAAAAAGUCCUUUGUGAAGGAGUUUCACUCCUAUUGUCUUUGUGUCUGGCAUUUGAACCUACAAGAGGCAAUCUUUAUUGAAGGAUUUCUCAUCAGUGUUUGUCCGAUUUUCAAGAUAAUUUCGCAACUGGGGUUCUAUGUGCUGGGAGAAAAGUUUGUUUCAAAGUAGUUACAUGGAUUUGUAAUCUUGGAGUUCUAAAACUGCUGUGAACCAUGUCUACUUGACGUCAUCUGUGCGCAAACAAGUCCCUGUUUUCUUCUGUAUAGAAGUGAGCUGUUUCAGCAAUGUUUAGUCAACCAGUACUGACUGACCUUCUCAAAUCCACAGAUUCAUUUUCAAUAAAUGUUUAACUACUGUUUUCUAAAGCCA
rnacentral:lncRNA from 1 species